rnacentral:rRNA from 1 species
UACAGAGGGUGCGAGCGUUAAUCGGAAUUACUGGGCGUAAAGCGUGCGUAGACGGUAGCGUAAGUCAGAUGUGAAAGCCCCGGGCUCAACCUGGGAAUUGCAUUUGAGACUGCUCUGCUCGGGUGCGGAAGAGGGAAGCGGAAUUUCCGGUGUAGCGGUGAAAUGCGUAGAUAUCGGAAGGAACACCAGUGGCGAAAGCGGCUUCCUGGUCCGACACUGACGUUCAGGCACGAAAGCGUGGGGAGCAAACAGG